GCUGGCGGCGUGCUUAACACAUGCAAGUCGAGUGCGCGCCUGUAGCAAUACAGGUGGCGCACGGCGCACGGGUGCGUAACACGUGGGCAAUCUGCCCUCUGAUGGGGAAUAACCCGCCGAAAGGCGGGCUAAUACCGCAUAAAAUUCCUUGGACUCAUGUUCGAGGACUCAAAGGCGUAAGUCGUCGGAGGAGGAGCCCGCGCACGAUUAGCUAGUUGGUAGGGUAACGGCCUACCAAGGCUUUGAUCGUUAGCUGGUCUGAGAGGAUGGCCAGCCACACUGGAACUGAGACACGGUCCAGACUCCUACGGGAGGCAGCAGUGGGGAAUCUUGCACAAUGGGCGAAAGCCUGAUGCAGCGACGCCGCGUGGGGGAUGAAGCAUCUCGGUGUGUAAACCCCUUUCGAUCCGGACGAAUACCUCG
rnacentral:rRNA from 1 species